rnacentral:lncRNA from 1 species
AGGACAUAGAAGCUUAAGUUAUAGACAACAGAGUGGGGAGAACUGAUGAUUGUACCAGUUGAAGCCGGUACCAGUCAUCGCGUGGAGCAACUAGAGAAAAGUGGUUUGAGGUAGAUUUUUAGGUUGGUAAGCAGCAAAAAUGGUGUUGUGCAUGUCAACCAGUAGAUAACAUAUAAAUAAACAAUUCAAUCUCAGGAACGACGAAACAUCCACAGGCAAUAAUCACCAUGUUCGUAACUACAAUUUUCAUUUAUCAUCGCUGCUUGGGAAUAGAAUGUCAACAAGCAGAAAAUUUGCACCAGAUGUCUUAAGAAUUUUCACAAAAUGAUAAUCAAUUCCCAUUGCCAUGGUUGAGUUCCAUGUAGACAAUAAAUAACAAAGCAAUCAUUCAAAAUAUCUUUUGUUUUACAUAAAACAUAAAUGCACGGUUGCAUUUAACAGCUGAGGAGGAAUUGGUCAACCCAUGGCAUACUUCUGUGUCCAGCUGCGUGCGGUGGCUUCAUACUUGGUCCUGUCAGUCUUGUACAUAUGUGCAAUUUCAGGCACAAGAGGGUCAUCGGGAUUUGGAUCCGUCAACAAUGAGCAGAUUGACAAAAGCACCUAAAAUAGUGAAUGUUAGGUUUAUUUUUUGCAAGAUUUAGAACAACAUGACACAUAAGAACAACAACAUUACAAAUACAGGUCACUAAACACGGAAAAAGACAAUACAUACAGUUCUUAAAUUAAAUUCCUAUCAAUCAUAUGAUCAACUUAUCAAAGUGACACAAACUAUAUCUCAAGUCAACGGAGAAUAGAUAUCUAUAUUCAGCUACUUUUAGAUUCAAAAUAUUAACUAAUCUGAAUUUUACUCUUGUGAACUAAUAUUCCAAAAAGAUACAGUUCUUCGGUGCUUUUAAAAGCUGGAGUGUAAACAAAUCAUGAAUUAUUUUCUUGUGCUAGAUUUUCAAAUCUAUGAAUGCUACUGAGAGUACUGAGCUUUCCCAAAAAAAUGACACCAACACAAGUAACACAUCAAACAUGUUAAACACGCCAAGAGACAAGUGUAAUCUGUAUCAAUAGAACUACUAAGAGUGCAAAAUACAUGCAUAGACAAAUUUGACAUGUGAAAAUAAAUUCAACAUGCUCCAUUUUCCAAACAAUUAACAAAGCUUGUCACUCUAAAUCCUUAUACAAAACAAAUCAUUAAUUAUCAAGAACAACAAGUAAAAUCAAACCUUGGAAAUGGUCAGUGCGGGGCUCCAUUGUUCCUUAAGAAUGUCGAGACAAAUACUUCCAUUGCUGUUGAUGUUUGGGUGGAAUACCUUAGUCCUAAAUGCAACCUGCAGCAUUGCAAGACAAUAACUCGGUCAUUUCUCAAAUAUUAAACAAGAUACAAAGUAGAAGAUGUUUAAACUUGAUAACUAUACUGUACUUGGCUGCAUAAAUUUAAUAAAUCACCUCAUCAGCAAGAAAAGGAAAAUCUUCCUAACAUAAAACAAUGUUCAGAUGGGUUGAUGUCAAUACUAACAACAUCCCCGAAUUUCAUUGGUUUGAGAAUGUUUUAUACAUGUCUUUGAAAUCAAGAAACAAAAUGUAAUCAAGAUGGUAUUUUUUUUAAAUUAUUAAAAAAAAAGUUGUCUCAAGAGACAAUUGUGAGCGUGUGGAUGAACACACGCAGGCAAUCGAAACUGGGACCAAAAGAUCGGUGGAAAACAAAAAAGGAAGACGUACACAGAACAAAACAGCCAACCAAUAAUCAUUAUUUUUUUCAAUUAACAAAUGGCUAGUAAGCAACAGUUUGCAAUACACUCAGGCUCUCAGCCACUUCAGCAUUGAGGUAAGGUAGACCUUGCAAGUUGCAACACAAAUAGCCUGAGGUUUCUUGAGGCAGGUUUAUGUUGGGUAACCCCACUAGCUUAUUUGCUUGAGAUAAUUAAAGAGCGAGGGGAUAGUAUAAAUAAGAGAUUGUAGGAGACAAGUGCAAAACUAUUAUUAAGUCCUUACUUGGUACGACCUUGGAGAACACACAGGAUCGAUUUUAUGGAAAAUGAUCAAUAUAAAAGCAGUUUCAAGCACAAACAGUACAAGCCCAAAAUGGGAGAAGCAAACUUGUUAUGAAGGCGGAGCUUGAUCAAUAAUUUUGAGGGGAGCAAAUAUAAUAUUCAUUUAAUGUUCAAUAAAAGAUUUGCAUCUUGGCGUAGUGGUAUGAACGAGCUUCCGUUUACCUAACGUCUGCGGUUCUUGACCUCCUCGUAACAGUUUUUUUUUUCAAAAAAACGAAAAACAAAAUGGUCACUGUUGGGAUCGAUUGCCUGCAAAACAUUCACCCCUCAAAACAGACCCGCCACCACGCGGCUAGAUAGAUUUGAUGUUCGCGGGAAGACUUGCAAUAUUAUAUGCACGCACAAACACGCGCCAAAAAGAAUAAAACUUUUAAAAGAUCUGCUUCUGUUUAGAAGCAAUUUGAACAAAAACCAAACAAAUCUCAAUAAAUUUUAAACAUAAAAGCACAGAUCAUCAUACAUAAAAGCAACUAAUGUAAAUAAAAAGCUAGGGUUUCAAUACCUUUGGUGGCUUGAAUGGAUAAUCCGGAGGAAAAUGAAUUGAAACCAAAAACACACCACCAGCAUAGGGGCUAUCAGCAGGUCCCAUGAUUGUUGCUUGCCAAUGAAACAUGUCCUCAGCCACAGGACCUAAAACACAAAACAUCAUCAUCAACAACAACAACAAAAUAUUAUUAUUAAAAUAAAAACAUCAAAACAACUAGCUUCAUAAACCAUAACAUAUCUAACAAAUAAUUUGGAAUCCUAAAAUUUCAUGUAUAUAAUCCUAAAUCCAAAUCACCUCAAAAACCCUUCAAAUAACAGAUCCAUAACAAAUCAUUGAUAAAAACAAUAAAACAACAAAAGGGUAUCCAAAUUUUCAAAAAUAAAUCAUUAAAAUCUUAUUAUUAUGCAUCAAACUAUAAAAGCUAAAAAUCAAAACUUUAUGUGUUAAAUAUAUUCUAUAUGAUAAAAGAAAAAAAGGGUUUGUUUGUUUUUUUCACCUGCGCUGCAUGAUGUUGGUGGAUCCUUCUGCAAAUCCUUGAGCUCCUUGAGGAUCCGUUUCGAUGCCAUGCUCAAAUCAAAGGAGAGAGAGAGAGAGAGAUUAG